AAAGAUGUGAUCAAACCAACUGAAUGAAAUAUGAGUCCGUUCAGAAGAGAGCACAGGUGAACUGAAUGAUGAUAUGAACAAUCUGAGGACGAGGAGGACGAGGAGGACGAGGAUGAGGACGAGGAAGAGCAAGGUGUGAGAGUGUGGUCAAGGCUAAAUCCACACACUAGAGGGUUUCUUCUCAUCAUUUCCUGUCAUGUGACAGUACUGUAUAGAGGCGGGUUUAUAACACAUACAACCAAACCUGAUUAGUUUUGAUUUGACUCGGUUUCUUUAGCGUUUCAUCAAAGCCGUUUUAUAAAACUUUUUUCUGAAACUCAUCAGCAAAACAUCAGCACAGAUUUCGGAGCUGCGUCAAUGUUUCCUUUUUCCUGCUCAUCACAAGAUUCAAAUGGAGUGGAGAAAGAAAAUCACACAUCCAGAAAACUGCUGGAGCCCCAGAAAUCACAGAGCAGCAGAAAACAAGAAGACAGAGAGAAAAAUGGAGACACAAACCAGUGGAUCACAAGAGAAAAGAGAACUGAGACUUGUUAGAUGUGAGAGUAUGGACAGAAUAAAGCCAAGCUUGUCAUGUGAUCCAGAUGAGCCUAUAAAGUUUGAUUCUGAUGUCAAAACUGAGGAGAGAUUCUCUCAUCAAAACCCUUCAUCAUGUUCUCAAGAACACACAUCAGAUACCAGCAGCUGAAGACCUGAACAUCUUUUGAAAACGAGUUUCAAAGUGUAUGUUUUUGAAAAUAAUACCGUUAUCGUCUCGGUGUCAACUACAAAAACAUGAAUCUGUGAAAACGUUGACGUCACGUACAUGUGUUUUACGCCUUCAGUCUAUAUGCACAUAGUUUUCUUUACAAAGUGGCAUCGCCAUCUACUGGCCUGGCAGCAGAAUACAGCGAUUUCAGUUGUUUCCGUGGAUCCAUGUGAACGUGGAUUGUUUUGAUAAUGUUGUCUGUAUACGAAAAACGCAGUUGUUUAAUGGACAGUUUCUUCCUCAGAUCAGUGUCUCAAUCCUGCUCAGCUGCUGCACUUUACUGACACACCGGUGUUUGAUAGUGAACACUUGAAGAUGCUUUAUAUAAGACAGAGAAACACCCUGAACAGACAGCUGGUCCACUGUAGAAAUAUGCACAUUUAUACCUACAAACAAACUUCAUGUCUUCAGUUCACUGGAGAACUGUUUUUAUGUGUUUCUAGUCAUGAAGUGAGCGAGAUAUAUUAAAAUUUAGCUCUUAAGCAGACGUGUAUCAUGAUUAUAAGCAGGUUAAAGAGAGUCUGAGUCUCUCCAGCUCUACAGCGCCACUCAAUAUUCCAGUGUGAAUCUGUGGUGAAAAAUGGAACUGCAGCGCUCUAAUUUUCGUCAGAUUUGAAACCGCCUGCUUAUUUUCACGUUACCUUACAUAAACUAAAAAGUAUAUGUGUAAAUCCUCAUAUGGUGUUAUAUUAAUAAUCUCUCUUUGAAUGUCACUAAGACUAAGGAGAUGAUCAUUGAUAUGGAAGUAAAUAAGUGAGGAAGUACAGCACCUUGAUGAUCGGUGGAGUCAUAGCUGAAGGGUGAGCAGUUUUAAACAUCUUGAGGUAUAUCUUACAGAAGGUCUUUACUGGAAAAUCGAUAUUCGUCACUUCAUAAGGAGGGCAACUCAACUCAUCUAUCAUUUACGAUGGCUAGCCAGGUUUAAGGUUUCUCAAAAAGUGCUGAGGAGCUGUGGAGAGCCUACUCACACGAGAGUAUUAUUCCUGGUUUGGAAGCACAACGGACCAAGAUCAUAAAGUGUUGUCCAGAGUGGUAUGGUCCACAGAGAAAGCCAUCAGGAUUUCUUUCCUCAGCAUCAAAAACAUUUACACUCGGAGAUGCAGGACCAGGACCAUAGAAUUAUUAAAGACUUUCACCAUCCUGGACACAGCUUAUUGUCAUUCCUCAUACUGGAUCCUGAGAACCGACACAGAGAGACUGAGGAGGAGUUUUUAUCCUCAGGGAAUCCAGCUAUUGAAUAAGGCAACUGAAUGAGUCUGCAGAACUUUUAAACCUCAUAUAAACACAUAUAUUAUUAUCAUAUAUCGAUUUUAUGUAUACUUCUGAUGCUUUUAUAUAUUAUUGGUUUAUUUUUUAUGCUAUUUUUCUUAGUUUUUUGCAUUGUCCAUAUGUCAAUUUUUGCAAGAAACUAGGGGAAAACCAUUUCACUACAUGCAUCACAUGUUUAUGUGUGUGAAAAAUAAAGCACCUUGAACCUUGAGGGUAAUACAAUACUGUCUUU